UUUCAGAGCGGGCAAGCAUGAGAAUCAGAGGAAGAAGGAAGGAAGGGGCGCUUCACUCUUACAGAGGGAGCUUCGCUACUGACAUGCUCUGGUUUUAAUGAGGUUUGGCAGGAAAAGACUAGUGAGUACUUGGGUUUCUAUCUCAAAAAUGGAGCCUCAAAUAUCUUCAAGUCGCAAAUCCUCCUUGAUGUGCUAUUUGCAAAUAAUUAGGGUUUACUCAUGCAUUCAUCCAACGUUUAUUGAACAUCUGUUAUGUGUAGAGCACAGGGCAUGUAGAGAAGGUUUUGGGGAGCUCAGACUGCUGGUUAUGAGAAUGCCAAUGUCAAUGUUAACAGCAAGAAACAGAAACGCCAACAGCUACAUACAUCUACAUCCUUCCUCGUAUGUGUCUAGUGUAAAUGGCACUGCCAUUCGGUCUUAGGCUGGUGAAAUAUCAAAGUUAAUGGCUCACUCCGGUCUUCAUGAAUAUGAGUCGAAGAUAAAAAGUACUUAAUGAGACAUGGCCUGGUGCUGGAGAAGAGCUGUGUCUGUGAGGGAGGAAACUAAGAAAGGAACAAGUGAAAGAAAUUCUUUCUCCUGACAAAAAAAUCCCCACUUCUAAGAUGCAUGUUUUUGGAGUAAGUAGAGACUAAGUACAAAGCAAGACCCUCUCACGCCUGAUUCCAUCGUUAACACGGAUGUAUUAGAUGGGAUGCUUUCGGCUGUAAGAACGGAUAAUCCACCCAAAGUGGCUUAGCUGAGAAAGAUAUUUACUCUCACACAACAAUGAAAUACAGAGGUCGAGUGGUAUCUGGGCCUUAAUUCAGCAGCUCAGUGAGUUCGUGCGGGCAUACAGGCCCUGCCCAUCUUCCUGUGACACCAUUCUCACCGUGCUGGCUUUUGGCUCCAGACUGUCUGUCCUCUGGCUGUCUGUCUAUUUGCUAUUCUUUGGCUCUGUUCUCUCACAGUUGCAAGACAGUGACAGCUGCUCUGAGCAUCCUAUCCUCACAAAUCUAUAUCCAGUGGCCUCCCAAGAAACAGUCUCCUUUGAGUUCCUUUUGAACAGCAAGAACCUUCCAGAAGCUCCCUCGACAGACUUCCUCUCAGUUCUCAUUGGCCAGAAUUAAGUCACAUGCUUAUUGCCAAACCAAUCACUGGCCAAGGAAGUUGGAUUAUCGCACUUUAUCUGAACUAUCAAGAUUUACACCCCGGGGCUGGAGAGGGGGCCAGCAUCCCUUGAAGAGUAUGGCUCUCUGAUUCCUGGACAAAAUGGGAACACCUAUAGCAAAGAACACAAGGCAGAAGUUGGUGGUAGGAGGGCAUGGGUGUAAGGUAAGCAGCCAGAGGGGCCACCCUUUGGCGACUCAAGGCGGAAGUACCUCCAGGCAAGGAGCAAUUCCAUGAUGGGGACCUUCUCUGAUGGCCACCGGGCUUGACCUUGCUCCACAGAAAGGAUGAGCUGCUCUUGCAGGAAUGAGUUUUGCUGAUCUUUAGGGAAGCUGCGAAGGACACCCUGUACUCUGUAUUCCGCUGGUUCAUAUUACACCACCUUGACCUGCAGCCAAAUUAUGCAUAAGAGCUCUAAAGUGGCUCACGGCUUGGGUAGGCUGGCUGACAUCAUCUGUCAAAUGCGGCACUCUAGAAUUAUCUUACCACCGUUAAACCACGCAAAGGCUUUCCCAUAGAAUAUUUAUAGGAAAAUGUGUCUUUGAAGCAAGAAUGAAACACCCUAGAACUUACUCCAUGAGGAAGAACGGAGUGCCGGCCCCAGCCCAUGAUCGUCACAGUGAGGGGGUGAGGACACAGCAACCAGUGACCAGAAAAUGUUUGCUGGUUCCUGCUCCAGAGGAUCUUGGAGUCUGGUGGAAAAAAAGUGAGAAUCUUAAAAGGGCAAGAGAAGAACUCUGAUGGGGAAAAUUGUUCUGGAGGCAUGGGGGAAGCUAAACAGCUGGAAGAGUAUUAACUCCCUCCUAAGUGCCAGGAAAAUGGCGCUAUGCUACAAAAAUCGGUGAACUGCUAUCCCCGCCUUCAAGGAACUUACUGUCCAGUGAGAGAAACAGACACGGGAUGAAACCCAUACAAAGUUGGAGGAGAGGCUGAAGACCAGAGGGGUCAGGCAAGGCUUCACGGAGCAGAGAUCCUUUAAGGAUGCUAGUGCCCCAGAUGGACAAGGCUGGGAAGCGCUCCCUGCAGAGCAGACAGCACUGAUAUUCCAACCCAGGCAAGUCCCAGAUGGAAGGAUUUGACCAGCUUGCAGCGUCUUUCUGCAGACCACAGGGCUUACCAGCAUCUUGGCCUCUGACUACCUACACACAUGAGACAUCUGGGCGGCUAACCAAGAAGAGGCCCCUGGCUCAAGAGGCCAGGAACAGCCAGUGACCACAGCAGCUAGUGUGUGACAGCAAAUGCUGGUCCAAUUUCAGUGAAAUGAGAAACUUUCAGCUCCAUUUUAUGGUUUUAGGCAGUCAUUUCCAAGCACAGUUAUUAAGAAAGGGGUUAUUUAAAUUAAUGAUUCGUCUCUUGGAGGGGGAGAGUGGUAAGUGAACAUGUGAUAAUGACAUGAGGGUUAGGUUUCUUACAGCCACUUUGGGCCAGAACACUGUGAAACCACCAGUUUUGUGUACGUGUGAUUUGCCAUGCCGAGCUGGGGAAAGAGGCAGGAUUCGGCAUCGUUCGUUUCAAGAGACUAAUAUUUUCACUUCUCACUUGAAUUUGCUUCUAAGGGUCGAGGUGCAGAAGAAAGCACCGGGCAAGAAAAGCUCCCAAGAUUGCCCGCUACUGUGUUCGGAGUCCACAGAGGGGAGUAAGAGAGAGAUUUGUGCAUCAGAAACUGGCAGCCUGGGUGGGGAGGGGAGGAGGGCGUAAUGGACGAUCUCAGCACAGUGCGAUGAUGGUGGCGUCAAGUCGGGACAACAGAGGAGCCUGAAGAGGAGCCCCUAGCCAUCCAGCAGGAUUCAAGGAAGGCUUCCGGGAGGGGCUGUGCUGGGCAGAAAGCUUGCUUCUCGUCUGACAGGGAUCCCCUUUCACUAUCUUUUUGUGACUGUUUUUCUUACUGUAAACGACACAUCUGACCCAUAAGUUUUGACCUGGAUUUUUGUAACUUAAGUAGAAUCUUAGAGAAAUUUUAUCAUCCAUCACUGACGUGCAUCUGCCCCUGGGGAGGUGAGUCGCGAACAGCUUAAGGGCAUGAAACACUGGAAUGCAGAGCCCAGAGAAUGUGCUGAGAGAUAACUCAUCUAGAAAGAGCCAACUGGUUAUACGGCAGCAUUCUAGAACUUUCCACAUAGAUCAGGCAUUCCAUUUUUCUGUUUCACAUGUACAUUUGAAAACUUGGGAGAGUAACAUAGGAUCAUUAUCAAAAACUUUGGAAAAGGAAGGAAAAGCACAAAGAAGAAAAAAAUCAUUUAUAUUAGUACAAUGCAGAAUUAAUCUUUCGGUACAUUUGCUUUUAAAGUCUUCUAUGCGUAUAGAGAUAUGCAGGUUUCAGACAACUGAAAUGACAUCGUAUAUAUACAUCUGUGCUCAGUUUCUUUCUGCUCAUUUAACAUUAUUUCAUAUGAAUUUUCUCAUGAUUUUACAAUUUCAUCAAAAAUUUUUUCCACCACGUGUUUAAUUAUUUUAACCAUUCCCUUUCUCUUUCGAAAUCUAGUUUUCUUCCCCCCCAUAGUUUUUGGCCAUUAUAAAUAACAUGAUAAAAAAAUGUGUUACAUACAACCUUGUCCUGGUUUGCCUGGGAACUUUAAUGGUUUUUUGGGCAUACAUGGCUAAAAUGCUUUCCAAAAAAUCUAUCCCUUUGUCGAUAUUAAGUAUUACUAUUUUUGAAAUAUGUGCUAAAGUGACGGGUCAGAUUGAGUAUUUCAUUUUCACUUCCAUUUAUCACUAUAGUGCUGGCCACUUAAAAAUGUUUUUCAUGGCUAUUUUUACUUUUUCUUCUUAAACCUGUCAGUGUCCUUUGCCAAUCUUUCUACUGAGAAAUUACUUUUCUUAUUGAUUGUAUGAAUGCUUUAUAAAUGAAGACUAUUAAAUCUUUCCAUAUUCAUGAAAAUAUAUUCUUCCUUUUUGUUUGUCUUUAGAUUGUUUUAUGUGCAGAAGAGUUUAACUUCUAUGUAA